CCUACGGGUGGCAGCAGUGAGGAAUAUUGGUCAAUGGGCGCGAGCCUGAACCAGCCAAGUAGCGUGAAGGAUGACUGCCCUACGGGUUGUAAACUUCUUUUAUAAAGGAAUAAAGUGCGGCACGUGUGCCUUUUUGUGUGUACUUUAUGAAUAAGGAUCGGCUAACUCCGUGCCAGCAGCCGCGGUAAUACGGAGGAUCCGAGCGUUAUCCGGAUUUAUUGGGGUUAAAGGGAGCGUAGAUGGGUUGUUAAGUCAGUUGUGAAAGUUUGCGGCUCAACCGUAAAAUUGCCAUUGAUACUGGCAGCCUUGAGUACAGUUGAGGUAUGCGGAAUUCGUGGUGUAGCGGUGAAAUGCUUAGAUAUCACGAAGAACUCCGAUUGCGAAGGCAGCAUACUAACCUGCCACUGACAUUGAUGCUCGAAAGUGUGGGUAUCAAACAGGAUUAGAUACCCCUGUAGUC
rnacentral:rRNA from 1 species